rnacentral:rRNA from 1 species
ACGUAGGGCGCAAGCGUUGUCCGGAAUUAUUGGGCGUAAAGAGCUUGUAGGUGGCUUGUCGCGUCUGCCGUGAAAACCCGAGGCUCAACCUCGGGCGUGCGGUGGGUACGGGCAGGCUAGAGUGUGGUAGGGGAGACUGGAACUCCUGGUGUAGCGGUGAAAUGCGCAGAUAUCAGGAAGAACACCGAUGGCGAAGGCAGGUCUCUGGGCCAUUACUGACACUGAGAAGCGAAAGCAUGGGUAGCGAACAGG